rnacentral:ncRNA from 2 species
AUGACUCUCUUAAGGUAGCCA